GGGGGCGACGCCACCGCGCUGCGCUCCAUUUUAGGUCUGCGGUGGGGCUGAGGGGGAACGGCCCCAUAGAGCCGCUGUGUGGCCGUGUGGGGCUGUGGGGUCUGCGCGGGGCUAUGGGGCCCAUGUGGGGCUAUGGGAUCCCAGGGUCCACUCAGCGUUAUGGGGUCCCAUGUUCCAUGUGGGGCUGUGGGGUCUGUGUAGGGCUAUGGGGUCUGUGCAGGGCUAUGGGGUCUGUGUAGGGCUAUGGGAUCCCAGGGUCCACUCUGGGUUAUGGGAUCCCAUGUUCCGUGUGGGGCUAUGGGGUCUGUGUAGGGCUAUGGGGUUUGUGUAGGGCUAUGGGGCCCAUGUGGGGCUAUGGGGUCUGUGUAGGCUAUGGGGUCUGUGUAGGGCUAUGGGGUCUGUGCAGGGCUAUGGGAUCCCAGGGUCCACUCAGGGUUGUGGGAUCUCAUGUUCCAUGUGGGGCUGUGGGGUCUGUGUAGGCUAUGGGGUCUGUGUAGGCUAUGGGGUCUGUGUAGGGCUAUGGGGCCCAUGUGGGGCUAUGGGAUCCCAGGGUCCACUCAGGGUUAUGGGGUCCCAUGUUCCAUGUGGGGCUGUGGGGUCUGUGUAGGGCUAUGGGGUCUGUGUAGGCUAUGGGGUCUGUGUAGGGCUAUGGGGUCUGUGUAGGGCUAUGGGGUCUGUGCAGGGCUAUGGGGUCUGUGUAGGGCUGUGGGGCCCAUGUGGGGCUAUGGGAUCCCAGGGUCCACUCAGGGUUAUGGGAUCCCAUGUUCCAUUUGGGGCUGUGGGGUGUGUGUGUGGUUAUGGGAUCUGUGCAGGGCUAUGGGAUCCCAGGGUCCACUCAGGGUUAUGGGGUCCCAUGUUCCAUGUGGGGCUGUGGGGUCUGUGCAGGGCUAUGGGGCCCAUGUGGGGCUAUGGGAUCCGAGUGUCCGUGCAGGGUUAUGGGGUCCAUGUGGGGCUAUGGGGUCUGUGUAGGGCUGUGGGGUGCAUGUGUGGCUAUGGGGUCUGUGUAGGGCUAUGGGGUCCGUGUGUGGUUAUGGGAUCCCCGAGUCCAUGCAGGGUUAUGGAAACCCAUGUUCCAUAUGGGGCUGUGGGGUCUGUGCAGGGCUAUGGGGUCUGUUUGAGGUUAUGGGAUCCUGGGGUCCAUGUG
rnacentral:lncRNA from 1 species